UACGGGGAUCUCCGGCGCCGCUACUCAGGGCCAACGCUCUGGGAAGAAGCUUGUCCAGGCCUGUGCCAGUAGUAGGGACAGCUCCAGGUCGCCUCUCAGUUGGGGACAGAGUACCCCAGCUUCUGGGUCCUCAAGGACAGAGAGGGAGAAUUCUGAGGGAUCAUUGGAGGGAACCAGGACCUUCUGGUCAUGACCUUGAAGCUGCCCAAAUGUCCAGGAAAGAGGAAAGUGCUCUUCUCAGUCAAGAGGACCUGAGCUGCUCUUUAUGGGAAUCAGCUGCUUGACUUCCACCCCCUAUAAAAAGGCAUAGAGGAAAGGCGAGGAAAACACACAGUGAGAAGGCAGCCAUCUGCAAGCCAGGAAGCCCUCAUCAGGAAUCAUGUUGCCGACACCUUGAUCUAGGACACCCCAGGUUCCAGAACUAAGAUAUAUAAAUGUCUGCAGUCUCAUCCACCUAGUCUGUGUUUUGUUAUGGCAGCUCAAGGACUCAAAAGGAUCAAUAGUCAGUAUCUGAAAAUAUGAUACAGAGAGUCAAAAGAGGUACAGGAUGGACCUCUGGGAAUGGACACUAUGUAAAGAUAUUCACAUCCCAUAUCACCAAAUGGCAUUUGAAGACUCUGCAAAGGAGGCCUCAAUAAUCAGGUGGACAAAAUGACACACUGCACAAUGUCAGUCGACCUUGUUCCCAGCCAUGCCAGUGUUUGCCCGAUGUGCUCAUGAACAAAGGGACCAUGGUUACAGGCAUGAGGACUGGGCAUGAGCUGGUGGACAUGAUGUCCCCCUUACUAAGGCUGAGCUGGAUGCUGCUGCCACCUAGUGGCUAAUCUGCCAACAGCGGAGAACUACAGAGAGCCCCAGCACCAUUCCUUGGGGGACCACCUCGCCACCUAAUGGCAGAUUGAUUCCAUUGCACCUCUUUCAUCAUGGAUGAGGUACAAAUUCUGGAAAUGGAUUUGCUUUCACUGCUAUCAUUCAUCUUCCCGCACCAACAUCCCUGGACUCUUGGGAUGCCUUAGCUACCAUCAUCGCAUUCCCCACAGCACUGCAUCUGAUUGAGGAACUUAUUCCACAACAAAAGAAGUGCAAUAUGGAAUUAACUGGUCUUAGCACACACCCUAUUGCCCAGAAGCAACUGACCUAAUUAAAAGUGGAGUGGCUUACUGAAGACUCUGUUAUGGCACAAGUUGAGAGAAAAGAAGGCAGGAAGUUUGAAUCACCGGGAUGUCUACUCUCAAGUCUCCCUGCAGUCGGAGUGAACGCAAGCAUCCAGCU